rnacentral:sRNA from 1 species
AUUGUUCAGGGUUUACGAAAUGGACGUGGGUAUCGAUACCGCCAGCUGUUACUAUUUUACCUUCUGCAGAAAUAAUAUCUGUAGUUGCACCAAUAAUAAUGUCUACGUUAUCCAUAAUAUCUGGGUUGCCAGCUUUACCUAUUUUCAUAAUAUAACCAUUUUUGACACCGAUAUCUGCUUUAACAAUUUUAUCGUAAUCAAGAAUUAGCGCAUUUGUAAUUACUAAAUCUGCUACUUGUUUAUCAUCACGUGUCACAUUAGGGUUCUGAGCCAUACCGUCAC